CGGAUUGUUGGAUUUGAUUGAGCUUAAAGAUGAUUAUUUAUUAACUUACCUAACCCUCUUUUUCUGUGGGCACACAUUCCUUCCAACUUCAUUCCCUGCACGUUUGUACGGUCUCCACUCCGCAGAUAAUAAUGAAAUCUACUCAAGGGAGGGCUACCUAUUGGUAGGAGGAGGAUGGUAAAGAAACCAGAAAAUGGUUUGAAGAAGCUGAUGAUAUUAAGAUAAUUUUCUGGUGGGAUUUCAAAUUGAUGGAACGUGUUGUAAAAACUAUCAACAGAAAUAUGCAAAUGCAAGUGGGAGAAGAUGUUCGUUUGAGUCUACGGAUGUGGCUAUUAGCAACUUGCCUCGAUAUUUACCAUAUAAGUGAGUGUCAUCUAUCUGAAUAACCGAUCGACAUUUGCUGAAGGCUUCUAUACAAGGACCAAAUGCCCAAAAUACAGAAAUGAGAAUGAUAUGCCCUUUGAUGUUUGUGUCACACAAUUUUCAUUCCACACAUGUUCUAGAAUUAGUGUGCUUAACCAUAUACAAUCGUUUGGUCAAAAAUUUAUAUGAUUCGUCCCAAUCACCAGGCACUUUGGUCAUCACAUUUCUUGUAUUAUUCUAUGAUUGGUGAUAGAGAACAUAUGAUACCCAAAUUUUGUUUUGAUGUUGGACAAUAGUUGUGCGAUGUUGAUCAAUCGUUUUUUUUUUAC